UCUGUAGUGACUUAGAAGCUACCCGGCGCCUCAUCUGGGCUCACCUGAGCUGAGGAUCAGGAAGGGGAGGGGGCACAGUCAUUCCCUCGCGGACGCGGCGGGACCCCAGCGGACGGCUUUGUGCGGACUUUCGGCACCGUUAUGCCCCCCUAGCCCGACACCACCUGGGGCUGGCGCGCCACGUUACUGUUCAGGGCCAGACGCACCGCCCUGCCUGCUCCGGGGAGCCGGACCUCCGAUCCCGGGGAUGGGGGACCCCGAGACCUCAGACCCAACGGAGGGGACUCUGAUACCUCAGACCCCACGCGGGGACCCCGAGGCUUCAGACCCCCACAGGGUGACCCCGAGAUCUCAGACCCCCGCAGGAGUACCUCCAGACCUCAAAUCCCCAGUAAGGGAAUGAAAGAGACUUCGGAUCCCUGAGGCAGCAAAUCCCUGUAGGGGCAUCCCAGGACUCAGGUCACCGCGGGGUGAACCCAGACCUCACAUUCAGGCAAUCCCCAGGACGCCGAUCGGCUGGCACUACCCACUGUCCCGGCCACCCCCCCUGGAGCUCAAAGGCUUGGCCCUCCAGCUGCUCCACCCUGCCGGCAACCAGGCUCAAACCUGCAGCCCGCGGAUCCCCUGCCCCGGAAGCAACCAGAUUCGCGGGAGGUUACCUGACUGAUCCAAGGUGAUACAGCUGGUAACUGAUGGAGAUGUUGGUAGUGAAAUUCAUGUACUUUUAGUUCUUUCUAUGGAAUCUAGAGGUAGAAUACAUGUAAAAGAAUAUCGACUACCGUCUACUCAGGUCUCUGUUUUAUCUGUUUAUUCAUUCACUCUCAGCUUUUAAUAGGAUCCAAUGAGCCCUCUGUGGUUCUGAAGAAUUGCCUUGAGUAUAUGCAGCCUCAAAAAACCCACUUCCUAGGCUCAGUCUUUGAUCAAUAUUUAUCAUUAUCACCAGUUAUUGUUCUAAUAAACUCUACUCUGGAAAUAUGGUGUUAUGGUUUACUUGGGAGUGUGAGUUCAGGGCAUCAUUGAAGACUCACGUACUUUUACUGAGAAAGUGACAUUGAUCUCUGUAGAUUUUGAAUUAAAUGAUAUGAUGAAGUAUAUAAACCAAUUACUUUUGGUCAAGGUGGUAAAAAAAGUUUAGUAUUUGAUAGAUUCUUCAUCUCCACGAUCACAAAUAUUUUCUCCUAGGAUUUCUUCUAGAAAUAUUACUGCUUUAGGUUGUAUAUCAGGUCUAGGUUCUACUUUUUUUUUUUUUUUUCUCCAGGCAGUUUCUCACUCCGUUGCCCAGGCUGGAAUGCAGUGGUGUAAUCACAGCUCACUGCAGCCUCAACCUACUGGACUCAAAGGAUAAGAUCUGCUUUUAAUUAAUUUUUGUAUACGGUAUGGGAUAGGGACCAAAGUUCAUUUUUUUGCAUGUAUACAUAUCCAAAUGUUCCAGCAUCAUUUAUUAAAAAGUU
rnacentral:lncRNA from 1 species